AUUACUCCUACGGGAGGCAGCAGUGGGGAAUCUUGCGCAAUGGGCGAAAGCCUGACGCAGCAACGCCGCGUGGGGGAUGAAGGCUUUCGGGUUGUAAACCCCUUUCAGCGGGAACGAAAUUGACGGUACCUGCAGAAGAAGCCCCGGCUAACUACGUGCCAGCAGCCGCGGUAAUAAU
rnacentral:rRNA from 1 species